AGGUUGUUAAGUGAAAAACAGGAUUACUUGUGAGAAAAAUCAGAAUCCUGGAGCAGCUGUAGCUAGAAAUGGGAUUAAACAAAAUGCCUUAAUGCUGAAACAUGAAAUCAGAAGCUGAGGAUAAAUGCAGACAGUUGAUGAGAAGAGCCUAUGGCCAUGUGGACUCUUUGCAGACUGUCCUGUGUGGGAAAAUGGGCAGCUGAACACCAGUAUAGCCAGCUCAUAUUUUUGAGUUGACUAAGAGACUUAUUAGUGCAGGAUGAAGUAGUUGUGCAAUGCUCAGAGGAGGGCAAGAAAAUCACAGAAGGUCUCUGAACAUGGUGGUUGAAAACAUCAGAGGUGUGCAUUGCCCAGGAAAAGUGGCUCUGGCUGAAACACAGAAGAGCUUCUGAACAUGUAAAGUUCUUUUGGCCAUUUUUAAGGAAAGCUGAAUUGUGCUGGUCUGUGAGCUAAACUCGCUGUGUUUGUGGCAGCCCCUGGUUUGAGGCUGGUUUGGAGGAUGGGUGGC